UGGGGAAUAUUGCACAAUGGGCGGAAGCCUGAUGCAGCGACGCCGCGUGGGGGAUGAAGGCCUUCGGGUUGUAAACUCCUUUCGACAGGGACGAAGCUUUUGUGACGGUACCUGAAUAAGAAGCACCGGCUAACUACGUGCCAGCAGCCGCGGUAAUACGUAGGGUGCGAGCGUUGUCCGGAAUUACUGGGCGUAAAGAGCUCGUAGGUGGUUUGUCGGGUCGUCUGUGAAAUUCCGGGGCUUAACUCCGGGCGUGCAGGCGAUACGGGCUGGGUGGAGAGCUGUGGGGGGGACUGGAAAUCCUGGGGUGGCGGUGAAAUGCGAAGAUAUCAGGAGGAACACGGAUGGCGAAGGCAGGUCUCUGGGCAGUAAAUGACGCUGAGGAGCGAAAGCAUGGGUAGCGAACAGG
rnacentral:rRNA from 1 species